UGGGGAAUUUUGGACAAUGGGGGAAACCCUGAUCCAGCCAUCCCGCGUGUGCGAUGAAGGCCUUCGGAUUGUAAAGCACUUUUGGCAGGAAAGAAACGUCGCGGGUUAAUACCCCGCGAAACUGACGGUACCUGCAGAAUAAGCACCGGCUAACUACGUGCCAGCAGCCGCGGUAAUACGUAGGGUGCAAGCGUUAAUCGGAAUUACUGGGCGUAAAGCGUGCGCAGGCGGUUCGGAAAGAAAGAUGUGAAAUCCCAGAGCUUAACUUUGGAACUGCAUUUUUAACUACCGGGCUAGAGUGUGUCAGAGGGAGGUGGAAUUCCGCGUGUAGCAGUGAAAUGCGUAGAUAUGCGGAGGAACACCGAUGGCGAAGGCAGCCUCCUGGGAUAACACUGACGCUCAUGCACGAAAGCGUGGGGAGCAAACAGGAUUAGAUACCCUGGUAGUCCACGCCCUAAACGAUGUCAACUAGCUGUUGGGGCCUUCGGGCCUUGGUAGCGCAGCUAACGCGUGAAGUUGACCGCCUGGGGAGUACGGUCGCAAGAUUAAAACU
rnacentral:rRNA from 1 species